rnacentral:snoRNA from 1 species
UGACCCCUGGCUACAGGCAGAGACACCUGGUUGGUGGUGGUGCUCUUAUAUCAGUCAGGGCCAGAGCAGACUGGCAGCCCUUUGCUCAUCCUAGCUUGACGCCUAGAUUGUGGCCAGAGCUGUGUCAUGCCUAGGGCACAUAA